GUGAACGCUGGCGGUAGGCCUAACCCAUGCAAGUCGAACGGCAGCACAGUAAGAGCUUGCUCUUACGGGUGGCGAGUGGCGGACGGGUGAGGAAUACAUCGGAAUCUACUUUUUCGUGGGGGAUAACGUAGGGAAACUUACGCUAAUACCGCAUACGACCUACGGGUGAAAGCAGGGGAUCUUCGGACCUUGCGCGAUUGAAUGAGCCGAUGUCGGAUUAGCUAGUUGGCGGGGUAAAGGCCCACCAAGGCGACGAUCCGUAGCUGGUCUGAGAGGAUGAUCAGCCACACUGGAACUGAGACACGGUCCAGACUCCUACGGGAGGCAGCAGUGGGGAAUAUUGGACAAUGGGCGCAAGCCUGAUCCAGCCAUACCGCGUGGGUGAAGAAGGCCUUCGGGUUGUAAAGCCCUUUUGUUGGGAAAGAAAAGCAGCAGGCUAAUACCCCGCUGUUCUGACGGUACCCAAAGAAUAAGCACCGGCUAACUUCGUG
rnacentral:rRNA from 1 species